UUGAACGCUGGCGGUAUACUUAACACAUGCAAGUCGAACGGAAACGAUACUAGCUUGCUAGUAGGCGUCGAGUGGCGGACGGGUGAGUAACGCGUAGGAAUCUGCCUGAUAGUGGGGGAUAGCCCGAAGAAAUUCGGAUUAAUACCGCAUAAUCUAUUCGUAGUAAAGUGGGGGACUUUCGAGCCUCACGCUAUCAGAUGAGCCUGCGUAAGAUUAGCUUGUUGGUGGGGUAAAAGCCCACCAAGGCGACGAUCUUUAGCUGGUCUGAGAGGAUGAUCAGCCACAUCGGGACUGAGACACGGCCCGAACUCCUACGGGAGGCAGCAGUGGGGAAUAUUGGACAAUGGGGGCAACCCUGAUCCAGCAAUACCGCGUGUGUGAAGAAGGCCUGAGGGUUGUAAAGCACUUUCAAUUGUGAAGAAAAGUUAGCGGUUAAUAACCGUUAGCCUUGACGUUAACUUUAGAAGAAGCACCGGCUAACUCCGUGCCAGCAGCCGCGGUAAUACGGAGGGUGCAAGCGUUAAUCGGAAUUACUGGGCGUAAAGCGUGCGUAGGCGGUUUAUUAAGUCAGAUGUGAAAGCCCCGGGCUUAACCUGGGAACUGCAUUUGAAACUGGUCAAACUAGAGUAUGGUAGAGGAAAGUGGAAUUUCUGGUGUAGCGGUGAAAUGCGUAGAUAUCAGAAAGGAACAUCAAUGGCGAAAGGCAGCUUUCUGGACCAAUACUGACGCUGAGGUACGAAAGCGUGGGUAGCAAACAGGAUUAGAUACCCUGGUAGUCCACGCCGUAAACGAUGAUAACUAGCCGUUGGGGGGAUUUACCCUUUAGUGGCGAAGCUAACGCGUUAAGUUAUCCGCCUGGGGAGUACGGCCGCAAGGUUAAAACUCAAAGGAAUUGACGGGGACCCGCACAAGCGGUGGAGCAUGUGGUUUAAUUCGAUGCAACGCGAAGAACCUUACCUGGUCUUGACAUCCUGCGAACUUUCUAGAAAUAGAUUGGUGCCUUCGGGAACGCAGUGACAGGUGCUGCAUGGCUGUCGUCAGCUCGUGUCGUGAGAUGUUGGGUUAAGUCCCGUAACGAGCGCAACCCCUAUCCUUAUUUGCCAGCACAUUAUGGUGGGAACUAUAAGGAGACUGCCGGUGAUAAACCGGAGGAAGGCGGGGACGACGUCAAGUCAUCAUGGCCCUUACGACCAGGGCUACACACGUGCUACAAUGGGAAGGACAAAGAGCCGCGAAGCCGCGAGGUGUAGCUAAUCUCAUAAACCUUUUCGUAGUCCGGAUUGGAGUCUGCAACUCGACUCCAUGAAGUCGGAAUCGCUAGUAAUCGUAGAUCAGAAUGCUACGGUGAAUACGUUCCCGGGUCUUGUACUCACCGCC
rnacentral:rRNA from 1 species